rnacentral:lncRNA from 1 species
CCCUCCACUUCAUCAUUAUUUAUCACAUCGUCAUCAUGAAUCACCAUUACAUGUAUCUCCAUUAAAACUAACCUCAUCACGAACCAUUCAUCAUGAAUCUCACCAUGAGCCUCCACAAUACCAUAACUCCAUAGUGAAAAGAAUCAGUCACACUUUUGUACCCUACCUCAAACUUGUGGCCUCCCCACAAGUCCCCUGUAGCCCCUCCUACAGGUCUGCUCGAGUAGUCCCGCCUACCUGGCUAAGGAACAUGUUUCCUGUCACACCACGACAAGGCAAACACCAUCACCCCCACACAAGGAGGGCUCAAUACCCGAGCGCUUCCUUUUCGCACACAAGGCUAAAGGAAGUUGCUAUCUCGACCGGUCGAUAGUCUCAGGCUUUACUAGGUACAGAAAGCGGACCUAUCCCUCACUCUUAUGCUCAUCGAUCAACCACUCGUUCAGGUACAAUCUCCAACACUCACUCAUUUCACUUUCAACACUCACUCAUUCCAAUCAUCAGUCAAAGUUUAUCAUAUUUCU